ACUAGCGCGCGCAGUACCUCCAUGCCACACUCGCGCUCCGGGAGUGCCUCAGCUCCUCGCUGAUAAGAUUGCCAGAUAGCUGCCCGCUCGUGGCGGCGAUAACCACCGCCCCCGCUGUUCAAGAGCUGGCGAGUGGCGCUGGCAGCAGAGUCGAGCCGUGGCGAGGCAGUCUCGCCCAACUCCGCGGACACGUGCGCUGCGGUGUUCCGGCAGUAGUCCGCCAUCUUGGGUUGUGGCGUCUCGCCGGCCAUUUCAGUGUCACAUUUACUCAUCAUUCCUCAAAGCGCGGGUGCAGGUCUCAGCGCAACAGCAGCAGCAGCAGCAGCAGCAGUAAUGGCGGCAGCAGCCAGACUCGCUCGUGGACAUG